rnacentral:rRNA from 1 species
UGGGGAAUUUUGCGCAAUGGGCGAAAGCCUGACGCAGCAACGCCGCGUGGGUGAUGAAGGUCUUCGGAUCGUAAAACCCUGUCGUCAGGGACGAAGGUCGGGAUGUGAACAGCGUCUUGGCUUGACGGUACCUGGAGAGGAAGCCCCGGCUAACUCUGUGCCAGCAGCCGCGGUAAUACAGAGGGGGCAAGCGUUAUUCGGAAUUAUUGGGCGUAAAGGGCGCGUAGGCGGUUGGUUAAGUGAGAUGUGCAAUCCCCGGGCUUAACCUGGGAACUGCAUCUCAGACUGGCAGGCUAGAGUGCUGGAGAGGGUGGUGGAAUUCCACGUGUAGCGGUGAAAUGCGUAGAGAUGUGGAGGAACACCAGUGGCGAAGGCGGCCACCUGGACAGUAACUGACGCUGAGGCGCGAAAGUGUGGGUAGCAAACA